AUUGAACGCUGGCGGAAUGCUUUACACAUGCAAGUCGAACGGCAGCACGGGAUCUUGCUCCUGGUGGCGAGUGGCGAACGGGUGAGUAAUGCGUCGGAACGUGCCGAGUAAUGGGGGAUAACGCAGCGAAAGUUGUGCUAAUACCGCAUACGCCCUGAGGGGGAAAGUGGGGGAUCGCAAGACCUCACGUUAUUCGAGCGGCCGACGUCUGAUCAGCUAGUUGGUGGGGUAAAGGCCUACCAAGGCGACGAUCAGUAGCGGGUCUGAGAGGAUGAUCCGCCACACUGGGACUGAGACACGGCCCAGACUCCUACGGGAGGCAGCAGUGGGGAAUUUUGGACAAUGGGGGCGAACCCUCGAUCCAGCCAUUCCGCGUGAGUGAAG
rnacentral:rRNA from 1 species